rnacentral:rRNA from 1 species
CCUACGGGUGGCAGCAGUGAGGAAUAUUGGUCAAUGGGCGUAAGCCUGAACCAGCCAAGCCGCGUGAGGGAUGAAGGUUCUAUGGAUCGUAAACCUCUUUUAUCAGGGAAUAAAGUGUGGGACGCGUCCUAUUUUGAAUGUACCUUAUGAAUAAGCAUCGGCUAACUCCGUGCCAGCAGCCGCGGUAAUACGGAGGAGCCGAGCGUUAUCCGGAUUUAUUGGGUUUAAAGGGUGCGUAGGCGGCCUUUUAAGUCAGCGGUGAAAGACCGGGGCUUAACCAUAGUAUUGCGGUUGAAACUGGGAGGCUUGAGUAGGAUUGAGGCAGGCGGAAUGCGUGGUGUAGCGGUGAAAUGCUUAGAUAUCACGCAGAACCCCGAUUGCGAAGGCAGCCUGCCGGGUCAUGACUGACGCUGAUGCACGAAAGCGUGGGGAUCAAACAGGAUUAGAUACCCGGGUAGUC